AGAGUUUGAUCCUGGCUCAGGAUGAACGCUAGCGGCAGGCUUAAUACAUGCAAGUCGUGGGGCAGCAUGGUGUAGCAAUACACUGAUGGCGACCGGCAAACGGGUGCGGAACACGUACGCAACCUUCCCAAAACUGGUGAAUAGCCCUCCGAAAGGAGGAUUAAUACACCGUAACAUAACGAAAUGGCAUCAUUUUGUUAUUAUAGCUCCGGCGGUUUUGGAUGGGCGUGCGCCUGAUUAGGUAGUUGGCGGGGUAACGGCCCACCAAGCCUACGAUCAGUAACUGGUGUGAGAGCACGACCAGUCACACGGGCACUGAGACACGGGCCCGACUCCUACGGGAGGCGGCAGUAAGGAAUAUUGGUCAAUGGACGCAAGUCUGAACCAGCCAUGCCGCGUGAAGGAUGAAGGUCCUCUGGAUUGUAAACUUCUUUUAUAGGGGACGAAAAAAGGGUAUUCUUUCUCGUCUGACGGUACCCUAGGAAUAAGCACCGGCUAACUCCGUGCCAGCAGCCGCGGUAAUACGGAGGGUGCAAGCGUUAUCCGGAUUUACUGGGUUUAAAGGGAGCGUAGGUGGGCAGUUAAGUCAGUGGCGAAAUCUCCGGGCUUAACCCGGAAACUGCCAUUGAUACUAUCUGUCUUGAAUAUUCUGGAGGUAAGCGGAAUAUGUCAUGUAGCGGUGAAAUGCUUAGAUAUGACAUAGAACACCGAUUGCGAAGGCAGCUUGCUACAGGAUUAUUGACACUGAGGCUCGAAAGCGUGGGGAUCAAACAGGAUUAGAUACCCUGGUAGUCCACGCCCUAAACGAUGGAUACUCGACAUCAGCGAUACACUGUUGGUGUCUGAGCGAAAGCAUUAAGUAUCCCUACCUGGGAAGUACGACCGCUAAGAGAUUUGGA
rnacentral:rRNA from 1 species